rnacentral:rRNA from 1 species
CACAUGCAAGUCGAACGAGAAGGUUUGAUGGAUCCUUCGGGUGAUAUUAGAACUGGAAAGUGGCGAACGGGUGAGUAACGCGUGGGUAACCUGCCCUAUGGAAAGGAAUAGCCUCGGGAAACUGGGAGUAAAGCCUUAUAUUAUGGUUUUGUCGCAUGGCAAGAUCAUGAAAACUCCGGUGCCAUAGGAUGGACCCGCGUCCCAUUAGCUAGUUGGUGAGAUAACAGCCCACCAAGGCGACGAUGGGUAACCGGUCUGAGAGGGCGAACGGUCACACUGGAACUGAGACACGGUCCAGACUCCUACGGGAGGCAGCAGUGGGGAAUAUUGCGCAAUGGGGGCAACCCUGACGCAGCAAUACCGCGUGAGUGAAGAAGGUUUUCGGAUCGUAAAGCUCUGUUAUUGGGGAAGAAGAAUGACGGUACCCAAUGAGGAAGUCCCGGCUAACUACGUGCCAGCAGCCGCGGUAAUACGUAGGGGACAAGCGUUGUCCGGAAUGACUGGGCGUAAAGGGCGCGUAGGCGGUCUAUUAAGUCUGAUGUGAAAGGUACCGGCUCAACCGGUGAAGUGCAUUGGAAACUGGUAGACUUGAGUAUUGGAGAGGCAAGUGGAAUUCCUAGUGUAGCGGUGAAAUGCGUAGAUAUUAGGAGGAACACCAGUGGCGAAGGCGGCUUGCUGGACAAAUACUGACGCU